ACACUCUUCCUCAGCCUCCCCAGAAGCCCCGCAUGUGCUGUCACCUGUUUGAUGAUCUCCGUGACCGAGAACAAGUGGCAUCCCAGGAGCCUGUGAGGGGCUGGCAGAGACUUACUGGUUCCAGGAAAAGCCCCAUGUGGAUGUAGUAAUGCUGCCUGCUGGUCCUUGGCUGUAAUUACAAACAGUUUCACCUUCCAGUUCUGGUUCUGGAGACAAGAUGGCCCCUCUUGGAACCCUGGGAGAAUAUGCUCAGGUGACACACAGUCGACAGGACCCAUUUCCAAGACAUUCUUCCAUUUCCCACUGUUUGAGGGGCCGAGGCCAGUGAUCAGCACAGGACCACCCAGGGCCAGCUGUCUGCACCUAAAUGUGAUGCUGUUCUGGAUGUCUCAGGGCCAGAACCCUCCAGGUGAGAUGGCUGGUCCUCAGCACCUGGCUUCCAUGCUCCUUUUUCCUCUGUUCAAUCCUGGCCCCAAUGCCUCCCGCAACUCUCAGGUCACCAUUGGAGAAGAUGCUCAGGAAGAACAAGCAGCUGCAGUCAACCCUGCUGAAGGUGGCAGAU